GAUGAACGCUGGCGGCGUGCCUAACACAUGCAAGUCGAGCGAACGGACGAGAAGCUCGCUUCUCUGAUGUUAGCGGCGGACGGGUGAGUAACACGUGGAUAACCUACCUAUAAGACUGGGAUAACUUCGGGAAACCGGAGCCAAUAACGGAUAAUAUUUUGAACGGGAUGGUUCAAAAGUGAAAGACGGUUUUGCUGUCACUUAUAGAUGGAUCCGCGUUGCAUUAGCAAGUGGGUAAGGUAACGGCUUACCAAGGCAACGAUGCAUAGCCGACCUGAGAGGGUGAUCAGCCACACUGGAACUGAGACACGGUCCAGACUCCUACGGGAGGCAGCAGUGGGGAAUCUUCCACAAUGGGCGAAAGCCUGACGGAGCCACGCCGCGUGGGUGAUGAAGGUCUUCGGAUCGUAAAACUCUGUUAUUAGGGAAGAACAUAUGUAUAAGUAACUGUGCACGUCUUGACGGUACCUAAUCAGAAAGCCACGGCUAACUACGUG
rnacentral:rRNA from 1 species